CUCAUUCAGUUGUGUGUGUGUCUCCAGGCUCGGGCUCGUCCACCGCUGCUCCUGAGGCUUUGUUGUUGUUGUUGCUCUUAAGACGUCGAGAACAACAAAUGGAAGAGUUGUCAGUCAUAUUCCUGAUGACAUGAAUGUUAAGUAUUCCUCCUGCUCUACAUCUCCUCAGCCUGCCAGUGUCUUUUUUUCGCUUUCAUCCCCGUCUACCUGUCGUUGAUUAGCUGAAUGGAUCCCGAGGAUAAAGGCAGAAGGGGCAGAAGCUACAUUCUUGUUACUAGGUGUCAGGCUCUGGGGCUCAACACUUGUCAGGGGGAAUAUAUGCCAUCACCCGGGAGUCGUGCUGUGGCAGCCGGCGCUAAGAAGUCAUCCAGACCAUUCAAACGGCACAAAACUGGUUUUCUUUGAAUUGGCAGAUAAAGAGAGGAGACGAGAAGAGGGAGAGGCUGGGUAAUGAAAAGACCUCCGUCACCAAGGACCUAGGAGCCACCUGAUAAAUUGGCUUGUUAAGAGGAGAAAGAUCACUAUGUGGCAUAUUCCUCCCAUUCACUCCCAGCAACACAGGUGCACAACAGACAACAGACAAAUGGGAAUCAAUCAAGAUGCGCUAUAGUUGGUGCUUGUAUUGGUUUAUAAAACGCUGACGGACACUCAGCUGGGAGGUUGAUCAAUUAAAUUUGUAGUUGUAUAGACUCAA